AGCGAACGCUGGCGGCAGGCUUAACACAUGCAAGUCGAGCGGGGGAAGGUAGCUUGCUACCGGACCUAGCGGCGGACGGGUGAGUAAUGCUUAGGAAUCUGCCUAUUAGUGGGGGACAACAUCUCGAAAGGGAUGCUAAUACCGCAUACGUCCUACGGGAGAAAGCAGGGGAUCUUCGGACCUUGCGCUAAUAGAUGAGCCUAAGUCGGAUUAGCUAGUUGGUGGGGUAAAGGCCUACCAAGGCGACGAUCUGUAGCGGGUCUGAGAGGAUGAUCCGCCACACUGGGACUGAGACACGGCCCAGACUCCUACGGGAGGCAGCAGUGGGGAAUAUUGGACAAUGGGGGGAACCCUGAUCCAGCCAUGCCGCGUGUGUGAAGAAGGCCUUAUGGUUGUAAAGCACUUUAAGCGAGGAGGAGGCUACUUUAGUUAAUACCUAGAGAUAGUGGACGUUACUCGCAGAAUAAGCACCGGCUAACUCUGUGCCAGCAGCCGCCGUAAUAC
rnacentral:rRNA from 1 species